rnacentral:rRNA from 1 species
GACGAACGCUGGCGGCGUGCCUAAUACAUGCAAGUCGAGCGGACAGAUAAGGAGCUUGCUCCUUUGAAGUUAGCGGCGGACGGGUGAGUAACACGUGGGCAACCUGCCCUGUAGAUUGGGAUAACUCCGGGAAACCGGGGCUAAUACCGAAUAAUACUUUUUAGCUCAUGCUAGAAAGUUGAAAGAUGGUUCUGCUAUCACUACAGGAUGGGCCCGCGGCGCAUUAGCUAGUUGGUGAGGUAACGGCUCACCAAGGCGACGAUGCGUAGCCGACCUGAGAGGGUGAUCGGCCACACUGGGACUGAGACACGGCCCAGACUCCUACGGGAGGCAGCAGUAGGGAAUCUUCCACAAUGGGCGAAAGCCUGAUGGAGCAACGCCGCGUGAGUGAAGAAGGAUUUCGGUUCGUAAAACUCUGUUGUAAGGGAAGAACAAGUAGCGUAGUAACUGGCGCUACCUUGACGGUACCUUAUUAGAAAGCCACGGCUAACUACGUGCCAGCAGCCGCGGUAAGAC